GAUCCUGGCUCAGGAUGAACGCUAGCGACAGGCUUAACACAUGCAAGUCGAGGGGCAUCAUGGAGUAGCAAUACUCUGAUGGCGACCGGCGCACGGGUGAGUAACGCGUAUGUAACCUGCCUGAUACAGGGGCAUAGCCCAUGGAAACGUGGAUUAAAUCCCCAUAUGGCUUAUAUGAGGCAUCUUUUAUAAGUAAAAUCUAUAGAGGUAUCAGAUGGGC
rnacentral:rRNA from 1 species